rnacentral:misc_RNA from 1 species
UACGAACUUCAACCUGUUACUAUAUUUGCAUGAACUGGAUGUCCAAGAAACUGAGUCACAACUCACGAGAUAAAAAGUAGUUUUAUUUGGGAUCCAUACAUCGAUUACAUCAACCAGCAACUAAAACUUGAGAAAAAUAGGUUGCUCGUGUCACUCAGCUAUUAUUUCACAUCAUAAGCUUUUACAAACAUGGUCCCUGUUCAGGGGCACUCAUUUUCGUAAACAUCAUUGGCAUAUUUCCAGUUGAUAACUUUCCAUAUAUUCUUCAGGUAAUCUGGUCUUACAUUUUUGUACUGCAAGUAGUAUGCGUGUUCCCAAACGUCUAUACCCAGAAGAGGUACCAAAUUUGCUCCUUUAGAAACCAAAGGGUCCUGAUUUGCAGUGGUUUCAACCACCAGGCGCUUAAGCUCUUUGUCCACACCAAGCCACACCCAGCCAGAGCCCUGUAAAGCAGCACCUUCUGCGUUCAUCUUUUUUACUAAAGCUUCCAGUGAACCAAAGUUAGUGUCAAUAGCCCAGCCAAGAGAACCCUUUGGAGGCUCCCCACCACCUUCGCUGACAGGGGCAAGGUUAUUCCAGAAAAUUGAGUGAUUAAUAUGACCUCCGCCGUUAAAUUUGAGGGCACUGUGCAAUUUGGCGACGGCAGGAGCAUCUCCUUUGGAGAUGGCAUCAUGGAGCUGUUCAAGGGCCUUAUUGUAAUUAGUGAUGUAAGUCUGAUGAUGCUUCUGGUGGUGGAGCUGCAUUAUAUCACCGCUAAUUGCCGGCUCCAGGGCGCCAUAGUCGUAUGGGAGAUCGGGGAGCGAAAAGGUUUGAACGCCACGAAGUUGUUGGCGGAACCCUAGCCCUGCCGCUAAGGUCCGUCUGCUCACUAAAGUCCGAAGAGCCAUUUUCGAUUAUUUUUAAUUUCUAAAUGCUUCUAGUAGAG